rnacentral:rRNA from 1 species
GAUGAACGAGGGUGGCGUGCCUAAUACAUGCAAGUCGAGCGAACAGACGAGGAGCUUGCUCCUUCGACGUUAGCGGCGGACGGGUGAGUAACACGUAGGUAACCUACCUAUAAGACUGGGAUAACUUCGGGAAACCGGAGCUAAUACCGGAUAAUAUUUCGAACCGCAUGGUUCGAUAGUGAAAGAUGGCUUUGCUAUCACUUAUAGAUGGACCUGCGCCGUAUUAGCUAGUUGGUAAGGUAACGGCUUACCAAGGCAACGAUACGUAGCCGACCUGAGAGGGUGAUCGGCCACACUGGAACUGAGACACGGUCCAGACUCCUACGGGAGGCAGCAGUAGGGAAUCUUCCGCAAUGGGCGAAAGCCUGACGGAGCAACGCCGCGUGAGUGAUGAAGGUCUUCGGAUCGUAAAACUCUGUUAUUAGGGAAGAACAAACGUGUAAGUAACUGUGCACGUCUUGACGGUACCUAAUCAGAAAGCCACGGCUAACUACGUG